UACGUACUCUUUCUGUCCGAAAAAGGUUGUCCCUCAAAUGGAUGUAUCUAGCAUCAAGUUAUUGUUAGAUACAUCCAUUUGAGAGACAAGAUUGUGACAAGUUUUUUCGGACGACGGGAGUACCAA
rnacentral:pre_miRNA from 1 species